CACGUAGGGCGCAAGCGUUGUCCGGAAUUAUUGGGCGUAAAGAGCUCGUAGGCGGUCUGUUACGUCUGCUGUGAAAACCCUGGGCUUAACCCUGGGCUUGCAGUGGAUACGGGCAGACUAGAGGCAGGUAGGGGAGAAUGGAAUUCCCGGUGUAGCGGUGAAAUGCGCAGAUAUCGGGAGGAACACCGGUGGCGAAGGCGGUUCUCUGGGCCUUACCUGACGCUGAGGAGCGAAAGCGUGGGGAGCGAACAGG
rnacentral:rRNA from 1 species